rnacentral:rRNA from 1 species
GACGAACGCUGGCGGCGUGCUUAACACAUGCAAGUCGAACGCAGUGGCGAACGGGUGAGUAAUACGUGGGUAACCUGCCCUCCUUUUCGGGAUAAGCCUUGGAAACGGGGUCUACUACCGAAUAAAGGGGGAUGGGCUCGCGGCCUAUCAGCUUGUUGGUGGGGUGAUGGCCUACCCAGGCGGUGACGGGUAGCCGGCCUGAGAGGGUGACCGGCUACAUUGGGAAUGAGAUACGGCCCAGACUCGUACGGGAGGAAGCAGUGGGUGGUAUGGGACAGAGGGGGAAAGGCUGAUGCGGCGACGCCGAUGGGGGGAUGAAGACUUUGGGGUUGUAAACGUCUGUCGCUACGGAGCGGGUAGGUGGAGAAGGAGCGCGGGCGAACUACGGGCCAGCAGCCGCGGUAAUAC